UGCCAGCCGCCGCGGUAAUACAGAGGGUGCGAGCGUUAAUCGGAAUUACUGGGCGUAAAGCGUGCGUAGGCGGUUAAUUAAGUCAGAUGUGAAAGCCCUGGGCUCAACCUGGGAAUUGCAUUUGAUACUGGUUAACUUGAGUAUGGGAGAGGGAAGUGGAAUUCCGAGUGUAGGGGUGAAAUCCGUAGAUAUUCGGAGGAACACCAGUGGCGAAGGCGGCUUUCUGGACCGAUACUGACGCUGAGACGCGAAAGCGUGGGGAGCAAACAGGAUUAGAUA
rnacentral:rRNA from 1 species